rnacentral:lncRNA from 1 species
CUCUGAAUUGGAUAAAUUGACGCCAUCAUAGCACGUUGAAGUCAACGGAUGAUAUGCUUUUAAGGUAUGCAUGCGCUCUAUCUUCUUUAAAUAUAAUGACUAGAUUUUUUUUGUUUUUUUGGGUAAAAACGACUAGAUCUUUGAUGAAGGCAGUUCAGAAUUCAGAUUGUAUUUAUAGAAUAAGGCUUCCGGAAGAGCCCAAUUUAAAAGCUAGUCAAUAAUCCAAUUGGCUUAAUCCAAACUUCAUUAUCCCU